rnacentral:rRNA from 1 species
AGUAACGCGUGAGGAACCUGCCUCAAAGAGGGGGACAACAGUUGGAAACGACUGCUAAUACCGCAUAAGCCCACGGCUCGGCAUCGAGCAGAGGGAAAAGGAGUGAUCCGCUUUGAGAUGGCCUCGCGUCCGAUUAGCUAGUUGGUGAGGUAAUGGCCCACCAAGGCGACGAUCGGUAGCCGGACUGAGAGGUUGAACGGCCACAUUAGGACUGAGACACGGCCCAG